AUUGAACGCUGGCGGCAUGCCUUACACAUGCAAGUCGAACGGUAACGCGGGGGCAACCCUGGCGACGAGUGGCGAACGGGUGAGUAAUACAUCGGAACGUACCUGGUAGUGGGGGAUAGCCAGGCGAAAGCCGGAUUAAUACCGCCUACGAACCCCGGUGGAACGCGGGGGACCGCAAGGCCUCGCGCUAACAGAGCGGCCGAUGGCAGUUUGGCUAGUUGGUGGGGUAAAAGGCUACCAAGGCGACGAUCUGUAGCUGGUCUGAGAGGCCGGCCAGCGAGACUGGGACAGAGACAAGGCCCAGACUCCUACGGGGGGUAGCAGUGGGGAAUUUUGGAGAAGGGGGGAAACGCUGAUCCAGCGAAGCCGCGUGUGUGAAGAAGGACUUCGGGUGGUAAAGCGCUUUUGUUCGGUAAGAAAUCUGUCGCGCUAAUACCCUGGGGGGAUGACGGUACCGGAAGAAUAAGCACCGGCUAACUACGUGCCAGCCGCCGCCGUAA
rnacentral:rRNA from 1 species